UAUGUAAUUGAUUUCGGUUAAUCAAUUGAUAUCUAGGAUUUAAACUAGCGGGUUGGAAGCUGACACAAUAAACAGCAGAGAGUAGAGAUUCUACUUAGAUAUUUGUACUUAUUUCAUAAUUUGCUCUAGAGACUUUUAGAUGUAAAAAGAGACUCCCAUUAUUUUAUCAGAUCUCCUACACUCUUCGGAUGGAAAAACGAAAAUCCUAAUGCGACAACUGAAUUUUUAGUGGGUGCUACGGUUCCACCGAUGUCAUGCACCUUACCUAACAGUUAUUGAUAAUACGAACAAACACCGAUGCGUGGACAACUGUUUGUCCAGAUGCUUCUUUAAGCAUGUUGCAGUGAUUUGAUCUCUAAAUCAUGUGGGUUCACCUAACAGUUAUUGCUCGCACUCCUUAGUUAAAUUAGACCUAUCAUUCACAAGCAGGUGCAAAGUCAUCAUUGGGUCCCUCACCUAACAGUUAUUGAAUCCAACCCUAUCUUUUACCCUAGAGCAAUUUUUUGCUAAUAGAGUGGUUGUGUGUUCCCGAUGCAACUGAACCACUGUGACCAAUCGAGAACAAUCAACGUCGGUGGCACGUCCGUACAUCUACAAUGGUAGAAGACCAUUGGACUUAAUAUUUAUGGAGAGAUUUGGAUUUAGAUCUCAUCAAUCAGUCAUCAUAUGACUAAUCUAAUUGGCAUGGGCUAAAUCAAAUCGUUAAACAAUCAUAUUUGAGACUCAAUCUUUCAAAUCGAUCAGGUAAGUAGAGAUUGGUGGGGGUCCCUCCAUUGCUUUUCUUAGACAUCAAUAAAUUGAUCAGGUCAGUGAACAGAACCAAUUAAAUAAUCACAUUUCAAUUACUUGUUUUAAACACCAAUUGGUUAAUUGAUCCAAAUAGGUUAGCUUAGGUGAAUCAGAUUCAAGCCAU
rnacentral:lncRNA from 1 species